rnacentral:rRNA from 1 species
UACGAAGGGAGCUAGCGUUACUCGGAAUUAUUGGGCGUAAAGCGUGCGUAGGCUGCUUUGCAAGUUGGAAGUGAAAGCCCAGGGCUCAACCUUGGAAUUGCUUUCAAAACUACAGAGCUAGAAUAUCAGAGAGGAUAGCGGAAUUACUAGUGUAGAGGUGAAAUUCGUAGAUAUUAGUAGGAACACCGGAGGCGAAAGCGGCUAUCUGGCUGAUUAUUGACGCUGUUGCACGAAAGCGUGGGGAGCAAACAGG